rnacentral:rRNA from 1 species
UAAAGUGGCGUACGGGUGAGUAACACGUGGAUCAUCCACCUCUUAUGGGGAAUAACAUUGGGAAACCGAAGCUAAUACCGCAUAAGCCUGAGAAGGGAAAGAAGCAAUUCGCUGAGAGAGGAGUCCGCGGCCGAUUAGCUAGUUGGUAGGGUAAUGGCCUACCAAGGCGAUGAUCGGUAGCCGGCCUGAGAGGGCACACGGCCACACUGGCACUGAAACACGGGCCAG